rnacentral:lncRNA from 1 species
GUGCCAGGGCGCUGCUAUGGGAGGUGCUGUGGACCCAAAGGAGGGGCCUGGCAGGAGGCCUGCAGCUCUUCGAGGACGUGGCUUGGUGGAGGCCCAGCCUUUUGGCUAAGAGCGGGUGAGGAGAUCCAGAUCCCCAGUCCUCCUCUCUCUUUGCUCCCUCCAGGUGAUGCCGCAGGUUUGCUCUGCCACAUUACCUGGCACCAACGCUGAAUGUGGCUGUGUUUGGAGACAGGUGCUGUUGCUGUCAGAGUUUGCAAGGGAAUGGAGUUAGUACAGGACACAUCGUUUACAAGAUUAUUUUACAAUGGUCACUCAAAAAGUCAAAUGCAGAGGAGCGCAAGAGAUGUCCACCUGCUAGAGACCUAGAGGCCUGGAUCCUACCGCAGUGCCCUACCUGAGACCACUCAGAGGCGUGGGGCCCAGGGCAACGUCACAGGCAAGUCCAUACAGAGAGUCGACUGGGAAUGCCGGGUGCCCGUGGUGAAGCUGGAAAGUCUGCACCUGCGGGGCGAGGGGUCAGUACACAGGCUGAGGCUCGUGUGCGCACGGUGAAGACCAGCACUCCUGGAAGAGAACAGCAGCCAUCCCAGCGACAGCGCAAGGACCCGGCUCCUCCUCCUCCUCCUUCGAGAACAGCUGACUUAGUUUCAGGAAAACCAGCCACAGCCAGCUUCUCCAGGAAGAUCAAUGGCAGCACCUUCCCGCCCAUUCUCCUGUAUGCCCUUGGCAACAGUCCUCACCCAGAGAACGUCGUGCCUGGCAAUCCUAAGCACUGCUGGAUGGAUGGAUGA